rnacentral:lncRNA from 1 species
UUUUAUUUUUCUCUUCUUUAUUUCUUCCUCUUCUCUGUCUAUUUCAACUUCAAAUGAACAAAUGAAAAACGCCGUCAGAGCUGCAUGACGACCGAGAAAGCGAUUAAGGUGGUACUGCUCGAUCAGAUUGGCGACUGCUGUUCUGAUUUGUGCUGAAGCAAUUUUGAUUGCCGGAAGAAAAUAAAUUAUAAGUUUCGGGUUGCCGUGACUUUUAAUUAUUUUUUGUAUUUUAUAUUUUUAAUAUUUAAAUGGAAGAUAAAGUUAUAAUAAUGAAAUUUG